rnacentral:tRNA from 1 species
GGCGCAUUCGUCUAGGGGCCUAGGACGCCGCCCUCUCACGGCGGUAACACGGGUUCAAAUCCCGUAUGCGCUA